CCGGGUUGCGGACAGUGUCUGGUGGGUAGUUUGACUGGGGCGGUCUCCUCCUAAAGAGUAACGGAGGAGCACGAAGGUUGGCUAAUCCUGGUCGGACAUCAGGAGGUUAGUGCAAUGGCAUAAGCCAGCUUGACUGCGAGCGUGACGGCGCGAGCAGGUGCGAAAGCAGGUCAUAGUGAUCCGGUGGUUCUGAAUGGAAGGGCCAUCGCUCAACGGAUAAAAGGUACUCCGGGGAUAACAGGCUGAUACCGCCCAAGAGUUCAUAUCGACGGCGGUGUUUGGCACCUCGAUGUCGGCUCAUCACAUCCUGGGGCUGAAGUAGGUCCCAAGGGUAUGGCUGUUCGCCAUUUAAAGUGGUACGCGAGCUGGGUUUAGAACGUCGUGAGACAGUUCGGUCCCUAUCUGCCGUGGGCGCUGGAGAAUUGAGGGGGGCUGCUCCUAGUACGAGAGGACCGGAGUGGACGCAUCACUGGUGUUCGGGUUGUCAUGCCAAUGGCACUGCCCGGUAGCUAAAUGCGGAAGAGAUAAGUGCUGAAAGCAUCUAAGCACGAAACUUGCCCCGAGAUGAGUUCUCCCUGACUCCUUGAGAGUCCUGAAGGAACGUUGAAGACGACGACGUUGAUAGGCCGGGUGUGUAAGCGCAGCGAUGCGUUGAGCUAACCGGUACUAAUGAACCGUGAGGCUUAACCUUACAACGCCGAAGCUGUU
rnacentral:rRNA from 1 species